rnacentral:lncRNA from 1 species
GGCCCAGAGGACAGAGGGGCUCAUGCUCAGCCAGUGGCAGGGUCAGCGUAAGUGAGAGCGCUCCCAGCAGAGACCAGCGGGCCUUCUUUGCAGUACAAUUUGAAAUUCCUGAUGUAUUUUGCUUAUUGGGUUUCAUUCUCAUAAUAAAGAGAGUGUACACUGACAUGGGCAGGAUUACGAAAAUCAUGGUUUAAUAUUUUCCUCUUUUAAAUGAAUGCCAACAUAGUUAAAGAUAUGUUUACAAGAUGAAGAGAACCUUAAGGUUUUUAAUAUUUAAAAUGCCUAGAAGCCAAUAAUUAGUCUUAGAGUUUCUCUCUGCUAAGACUCCUGCCAAUUUUAUUAAACCAAAUUGAACAUUUUACUGUUGGGUUUCUGAGGCCACUUUACCUUUAUAGCAGCCUGCUUUCUGUAGCGGUCUCAACUGUUUACACAAACCAUAGCAAAACAUUAGAUUAACUCCAUCUUCUCCUAAUGUUUGCAUAAAGGUGCAAACUAAACCAGGUAAGUGUGGAACAGUAUAUAAGCGAGGUUAUCACUUUGAUGUAAAAAAAUCUAUUUUGUGUAUUUUUAAAAUAAAUGCUAACACUAAACUGGCGUCAUAGUGCUGCUGUCCUCAGAUAGUUGCAGGAAGAAAAUGUGCUCUGUGCUUCCAAAGCGUUCAGUACUAAAUGUCCUCUGUGCUUCCAAAGCGUUCAGUACUAAAUGUCCUCUGUGCUUCCAAAGCGUUCAGUGCUAAAUGUCCUCUGUGCUUCCAAAGCGUUCAGUACUAAAUGUCCUCUGUGCUUCCAAAGCGUUCAGUACUAAAUGUCCUCUGUGCUUCCAAAGCGUUCAGUACUAAAUGUCCUCUGUGCUUCCAAAGCGUUCAGUGCUAAAUGUCCUCUGUGCUUCCAAAGCGUUCAGUACUAAAUGUCCUCUGUGCUUCCAAAGCGUUCAGUACUAAAUGUCCUCUGUGCUUCCAAAGCGUUCAGUGCUAAAUGUCCUCUGUGCUUCCAAAGCGUUCAGUACUAAAUGUCCUCUGUGCUUCCAAAGCGUUCAGUACUAAAUGUCCUCUGUGCUUCCAAAGCGUUCAGUACUAAAUGUCCUCUGUGCUUCCAAAGCGUUCAGUACUAAAUGUCCUCUGUGCUUCCAAAGCGUUCAGUACUAAAUGUCCUCUGUGCUUCCAAAGCGUUCAGUGCUAAAUGUCCUCUGUGCUUCCAAAGCGUUCAGUACUAAAUGUCCUCUGUGCUUCCAAAGCGUUCAGUACUAAAUGUCCUCUGUGCUUCCAAAGCGUUCAGUACUAAAUGUCCUCUGUGCUUCCAAAGCGUUCAGUACUAAAUGUGCUCUGUGCUUCCAAAGCGUUCAGUGCUAAAGAGAGAAGGGGGCCAUCACACCGGGUCAUGUCCAUCUGUUGCUCACCUUGACCUUGUAAGAUUGGUCUGAUAGACUGGUCUGCUCACAUUGCUCAGGCCACCACACACAUAGGGACUGAGUGGCCUUAGCUGUGCUGCAGACACGGAAGCGGAAGGAAAGAAGGAUGGGAAGUGAACACCAACUUCUUAAGAAGGGAAGUGAGCUAGCGCAGCAAACUCCUUCUGUGGGAGUUACAUGAAAAUAGUUUUUAAAAAUAGAUAUUAAUGUACUUCAGACCCAAAUAUUUAAAAUCAAAAUGUAAUAAAGUUUUUUUUUUU